GCCACGCUGACCCCCACACAUCCCCCACCGAUGAUCACUGUGUCUGCGGUGUCCUUCCACCUCUUCCUCAACGAUGACGAUGCAUCACUGAAGACGGAUAAACACAGAAUUAUAUGGGAGUCAUUACAGCUCCAACGUUUGUUUACAACGCUUGUCACACCUGAGCUGACUAACUGAAGACACCAUGUCGACCAAUGAUGCAGAAGCACCGAAGCACCAGGACUACUUUAAGUGCAACAUUUCUGCAUAAAGUUGCAUGCAUCGACCAGCUGUGCAUCGUACGCACAUUAGACGCACUACAAGUGCAGCAGAUGGUCCUGACAGGAAGCCCAACACCUCGACACGCGGCUAAAUCUCUCCGCAUAUGACUGUUGAUUAGGUUUAAUAUCCGAGCCAUAAUUGAGUUGAAUUGGAGUCCAGCUUUUAGGACCGUUGUUGCAAAGGAGCUGGAUGAGAUGACAUUUUCACCUGACAGCAACAUAGUAACCUGGAUUAGUUAAAGCACAUUUCAACCCCCUUGUGAGAGAUCAGAAUCAGAAAGAAAAGGUGUAUUGCCACAGUAAACUACAACAUCCUCAACGAGAGUAGCAUCUAUACAGCAUAUCCUCUCUAAGAAUAUCAUGUUGCUGCACGUGGUGUUCUUUCUAAGAUAGAGGGAUGUAGGGUAUAGAGGAGCGUCCUAAAAAAGAUCCAAGACAUAUAAUCAUCAUGUUUUGACUGGCGGUGUAAUGCACUCAAGUGCUGUACACAUCUGAGGUACUU